rnacentral:rRNA from 1 species
UACGAACCGUACAAACGUUAUUCGGAAUCACUGGGCUUAAAGGGUGCGUAGGCGGCCAUGUAAGUGGGGUGUGAAAUCCCUCGGCUCAACCGAGGAACUGCGCUCCAUACUGCAUGGCUUGAGGGAGACAGGGGUAAGCGGAACUGAUGGUGGAGCGGUGAAAUGCGUUGAUAUCAUCAGGAACACCGGUGGCGAAAGCGGCUUACUGGGUCUCUUCUGACGCUGAGGUACGAAAGCUAGGGGAGCAAACGGG